rnacentral:misc_RNA from 1 species
AUAAGGAAAACAUCUGAUCAUCCAGAUUGUUCUAGGUUUCAUAUUACAAAAGGUAAAUAUAAAACAACAAACAAUUAAAAAGAGAAACUAACAAGCCAAGCUACUAAUAAGAAAUAGAGCAAACAAAUAGAUAGUAAUGAAAAGUGCAACAAAAUAAUGCAAACAUGAAAACAGGCGACCCAACCAAAGCUAAUACCACCAAAUGAAGAUGUCCUAAAAGGAAAUAGAAUUUUUCUCAUCAAAC